GAUGAACGCUGGCGGCGUGCCUAAUACAUGCAAGUCGAGCGAACAGACGAUGAGCUUGCUCCUCUGACGUUAGCGGCGGACGGGUGAGUAGCACGUGGAUAACCUACCUAUACGACUGGGAUAACUUCGGGAAACCGGAGCUAAUACCGGGUAAUAUAUUGAACCGGAUGGUUCAAUAGUUAUUGACGGUUUUGCUGUCACUUAUAGCUGGAUCCGCGCCGCAUUAGCUAGUUGGUAAGGUAACGGCUUACCAAGGCAACGAUGCGUAGCCGACCUGAGAGGGUGAUCGGCCACACUGGAACUGAGACACGGUCCAGACUCCUACGGGCGGCAGCAGUAGGGAAUCUUCCGCAAUGGGCGAAAGCCUGACGGAGCAACGCCGCGUGGGUGAUGAAGGUCUUCGGAUCGUAAAACUCUGUUAUUAGGGAAGAACACAUGCGUAAGUAACUAUGCAUGUCUUGACGGUACCUAAACAGAAAGCCCCGGCUAACUACGUG
rnacentral:rRNA from 1 species